CUCCCCCCGCCGCCACCCCCUCCUCCUCCUCCCGGCCCCCUCCCCGCAGCAGGUGAGCGGAGGCACUGCUGCGCCUGCGCGGCCGACGUGGAACCCGGCGGCCCGGUCGCUACGGGGCGAGGCGAGGCACAAAACGCCCUCCUCACGGCUUCUGCCGCGCGGCGCCGCCCCGCGGGGGGGGUGCCUUAGGGCGAUGCGCCCGGCCCCGGGCGGCCUGCAGGCCUCGCUUGGCACAGUGCUGGAAUUUUUUGAUUCUGUGAUCAUACUUCUAAAACCACAUCACUGGAGAUGCUGCACAAAGCAGAAUUCACUGCUGAGGAAAGUCAUUGAGUCAUAAGAAGACAGAUUCUUACAGAGGUGUCCUGAAUAACAUCUGCAACUAUCAAGCGAAGAAAUACAGCCAAUGCAGAAUCUUGAGACAUGAAGCACUUCUUUGAUUUGAGAAAACUAUUACUUAAAAGGAAGCUAUCACCAAACUGUUCAGAAUGUUCCAAGUAACAGGAUUUUGCAUCUUCAUCUGUUAACAUACACUAUUUCAAAUUAAACUCAAAUUCUCAUUAUCCAAUUGUUCUCUCUCAGACUUUGUUCACCUUAUUUCAACCCUUUGAUGAAGUUUUUUCCUGCUUAUUCCAAAAAAGCCAGAGACAGAGACAU
rnacentral:lncRNA from 1 species